AAAGAACCUACGUCGCGGAA
rnacentral:snRNA from 1 species